GCCGGGGUAGCUCAGCUGGGAGAGCAACAGACUGAAGAAAUCUGGUAUCUGGAGGUCCCGUGUUCAAUCCACGGUCCUGGCA
rnacentral:tRNA from 1 species